rnacentral:rRNA from 2 species
UACAUGACUCUCGGCAAUGGAUAUCUUGGCUCUCGCAUCGAUGAAGAGCGCAGCGAAAUGCGAUACGUGGUGCGAAUUGCAGAAUCCCGCGAAC